AAUUCAAAUUCAAAAUGAGGAAAUCGCUCUGUCUUGUUUUACUGAUCUAUAUUCAUCUGACCUCCGGGUCCUUGUCGAAAAGCACCGAUCAGGCAAUUACCAUGGAGUCCUUGGAUUCUCUGACAUCCCUGAUAUUAGCCAGAUACUUCAACGAGUCCUGUAUUUUGAUAUUUUCCUCUGAAAGCUCGAGACUAUUCCACUUGUCACCACGCGACGUAGUCAACGUGAAGUACUUCGACCUGGAUAAGGAUAACGAGGAUAAUUAUAUUCGGGAUGUACUCAUCCCUUCCAUGGAAAUCGGUUGCUCUGGUCACAUCAUACAGACGAUUAAUCCCCGUGUCCAAUUGACAUUAAUCGAACGUACUUACGUCAAGGUGUCACAGAGAAUUCAGCGUUUUUUCUUGGUAUUGCCGAUUCCGGAUAAACAAAUAAACAAUUUGUCCUGGACGCAUCCCGUUCUUCAAAAAGAGACCGAUCACUUGUUCGACGUCUUCAAUUCCACCUCAAUAAAAUCUGUUCCGAAUCUGCUGGUCGUCGUUCCUGCUGCUGACAGGAACAACUUUGUGUUGUACACGCAUAAGUUUGGCGGGCACGAUGACCUCUUCAGACAAAUGGUACUCCUUGAUGUCUACGAAGUAAGCGACGGAACUUUUUUAUACGGAGCAAACCAAUUCCCAGAUAAAAUCAAGGACCUUGAAGGUAGAACCUUCACCGCCACAGUCCUGGAAUAUGCACCCUACAUAGCUAAGGAUCCGUUGACAGGGGAAUUAUUCGGAACGGAAUGGAACGUCGUCAUGGAAUUUUGUAAACGUCAUAACUGCACACUGCGGUCAUUGGUUGACAACGUUUAUCUCUUCGGAGAGAUAUUCGACAACGUGACGGGAAACGGCGUCCUCGGGAACGUAGUGGAGGACAAAGCUGACGUUGGUUUCGGCUCCAUAGAUUUGUGGUAUCACGAAUGGCUCUUCCUCGAUCUUGGACCGGCUUUCGUGCGAACUGCAGUCACUUGCCUUGUACCUCCACCUCGUCCUUUGGCGCAAUGGGCAACGCCCAUAAUUCCCUUCGACGGACUUUUGUGGUACGCGGUGAUCACCUCGGUGAUAAUUGACGCUAUAACGAUCUACGUGGUCUUCUAUCUAACAAAUUGGAUCCACCGUUACUCAAAUUUGAAAGACGAGCAACGCCCGAUGACCCCUGUUUCAGCCUGUUUGGCAGCUAUCGGACUUUCUGUCGAGCAGAGUCUGAACACCGACGUUAACAGGGCAUCCAGUCGCGUGCUGGUAUUAGCCUUGCUCCUAGUUUCGCUCCUAAUUUCGACGUCAUACGGCAGCGGACUCUCCUCAGUUCUCACCGUUCCCAGGUUCGAAAAACCGAUAAACACCAUCGAGGAUCUCGAAGCUAGCGGAAUCAGGUGGUCAGCACCACACGAGGCGUGGAUAUUCUCGCUUUACGGAUCCAACGAAUCAUGGCUGCUCAAUCUGAUCGAGCACUUUGUUGUUCUUCCGCCAAACUUGACCACAGCGAAGGCCUACGAAGCAGAAAUGGGGUUUUGCGUCGAGCGACUUCCAGGCGGCAACUACGCCAUUCAGGAUUACCUACCGUCAGACGCUGUUGAGCACCUGCACCUUAUGAGCGGUGACAUUUAUUGGACGUACACGGUAUCGAUGUUGAAAAAAAGUUCCCCUUUUACGGAACGUUACGCUACCCUCGAGUUGGAACUCCUCGCUUCCGGAAUUCCAUCGUACUGGGAAGGACUCUGCACCAUGUUAUCCUUGGAUCCGAAAACGCAGUACGCUGUUCCUGACAAAGUCUUCGAUGCGCAUCCAGUACAAUUGAACAUUGCUCAGAUUCAGGGUGCGUUUUUGUUUUUAUGUUGCGGACUCACCUCUGCCGCUGUAACCUUCGUUCUGGAGAUUGCCAGACAAAGUCGGAAGGCCAGAAACAUUGUCCGGACUAUGUCCGGCCCACAGGAGAUGAGAGUCGUGAAAGUAAAGACGACUAUGGAGGAUCAUUAAAACCUGAAGAAGAAUCGCCUUCAAGAUUCACGAUACGUCUAGUACCUCGACGAACUUGCUUGUCGACUAUAAAGGUUGAAGAAUUUCUAUGCACCCC
rnacentral:misc_RNA from 1 species